rnacentral:lncRNA from 1 species
AGAGAGGAUAGAUCAUCUCUCUCCACCAAUUGGUAAAAACCGGUCCUAAAGGUGAGGGCGAGAACCUUAGCUCCUCUUGAUCAUCUUUUUCACCUCUUCACUACAUUUGGUGUGUAUGAACUAGAGAAUAUUUACUUUGGUAUCUUUGUGAGGAAUUUAUGGAGACUAAGCAAGGAAGAAGGCCUUUUCGAAGGUGAAAACUUGGAGACCAUCCAAGAGUACUUCAAUGGUUAGAAAGUCUUAUCUUUUCUCUAGGAUUUUGAUAUGUUAGGCAUAAAUAAUAUUAGGCUCAAGAUGAUUUAAAGUUUCACUUCCAC